GCAAUUGAGUUUAUUGAUGAUUGGCAGAUUAUUUCACUACUGUCAACGGCUUUAAGUAUUGAACCGGAUGCGUUUUUCCUGAUGAUUUUCAUCAUUGAUUGGGGUUGAAAUUUAUUGUUUCAACAUUUCUUGGCUUAGUUGAAUGAAAUGAAGGGUUUUAUUCGGGUAGUCGUCACACAAAGGGAUGAAUAAUAAUUGAGUGAGUCAUAACAACUGCGACGAAUUCGUUAGAUUUGUUUUCAUUAUUUCACUAGCUGGCAUUCAUUAUCAACACUCUAUACGACUGCAUACAAUCAAACAGUUCAACUCACUCAAGAGAACUAGGAAUUAUUUUAAUCAACUUAUCAGUAUGAAGAUCAUUGUUACGAAAAACAGUUUUGUUCCUCGAUUGAGCUCCCGUUUCAUCUAAUAAGUUCCAUUGAAUUUAACCAUUUCAAAGGGCGUUCCUUAGAAUAUUUUACAAUGGUUACCAAAUUAGUUUUGGUGAUCUCGGCCAUAUGCAUAGUGUGGGCUACCCCAACGACGUCAACACCUGCGUUCCAUGAUUGCGGACGAAGAUUGAUAACGGAUCUGGCAUUAGUUUGCUCAUAUAACAACGAAGAAAUUGAGAUGCCACCGAAUGAUGCGCCAGAGCCAAGUUUCGAACAGAAUUCAGUAAAAUCGGCGGAGGAUCACGGGUUUAUUGAUUCCGAGCAUGCACGUUUUCGCAGAGGAGUAGUCGCAGAUUGUUGUCAUACCGAGUGUAGCUAUGUGGUUUUAAAAUCCUACUGCCAUAUGUUUCGUUAAGAGAUUUGCUUCGAUUGUUUUAUAUUGUUUCACUUUUUGCUAAAUCAUUUCGAUAUCAGUUUGAACAACUAGAAUUUUUUUCAUUGAAUUAGACAAAGAUAAAGUUCAUAUUUGAAAUUA